rnacentral:tRNA from 1 species
ACUGGAUUAGCAGAUAUAAUGUAUUCAACUUAGGAUUGAAAGGAAAUUUUUAGUUAUCUAGUG